GUGGGGAAUAUUGGACAAUGGGCGAAAGCCUGAUCCAGCCAUGCCGCGUGUGUGAAGAAGGUCUUCGGAUUGUAAAGCACUUUAAGUUGGGAGGAAGGGCAGUAAGUUAAUACCUUGCUGUUUUGACGUUACCGACAGAAUAAGCACCGGCUAACUUCGUGCCAGCAGCCACGGUAAUACGAAGGGUGCAAGCGUUAAUCGGAAUUACUGGGCGUAAAGCGCGCGUAGGUGGUUUUGUAAGUUGGAGGUGAAAUCCCCGGGCUCAACCUGGGAACUGCCUCCAAAACUGCAUGACUAGAGUACGGUAGAGGGUAGUGGAAUUUCCUGUGUAGCGGUGAAAUGCGUAGAUAUAGGAAGGAACACCAGUGGCGAAGGCGACUACCUGGACUGAUACUGACACUGAGGUGCGAAAGCGUGGGGAGCAAACAGGAUUAGAAACCCGUGUAGUCC
rnacentral:rRNA from 1 species